GUCAAUGGCCAUGCCACCCUGAACACACCCAAUCCUGUCUGACCUCGGAAGCUAAGCAGGGUCAGGCCUGGUUAGUACUUGGAUGGGAGACCACCUAGGAAGGCCGGGCGCUGUAGGCG
rnacentral:rRNA from 1 species